UACGUAGGGUGCAAGCGUUGUCCGGAAUUAUUGGGCGUAAAGAGCUCGUAGGCGGUCUGUCACGUCUGCUGUGAAAACUCGGGCUUAACCCCGGGCCUGCAGUGGGUACGGGCAGACUAGAGUGCGGUAGGGAGACUGGAAUUCCUGGUGUAGCGGUGAAAUGCGCAGAUAUCAGGAGGAACACCGGUGGCGAAGGCGGGUCUCUGGGCCGUAACUGACGCUGAGGUGCGAAAGCGUGGGGAGCAAACAGG
rnacentral:rRNA from 1 species